CUUGCUCUGUGGAUCAGUGGCGAACGGGUGAGUAACACGUGAGCAACCUGCCCCUGACUCUGGGAUAAGCGCUGGAAACGGCGUCUAAUACUGGAUAUGUGACGUGGCCGCAUGGUCUGCGUCUGGAAAGAAUUUCGGUUGGGGAUGGGCUCGCGGCCUAUCAGCUUGUUGGUGAGGUAAUGGCUCACCAAGGCGUCGACGGGUAGCCGGCCUGAGAGGGUGACCGGCCACACUGGGACUGAGACACGGCCCAGACUCCUACGGGAGGCAGCAGUGGGGAAUAUUGCACAAUGGGCGCAAGCCUGAUGCAGCAACGCCGCGUGAGGGAUGACGGCCUUCGGGUUGUAAACCUCUUUUAGCAGGGAAGAAGCGAAAGUGACGGUACCUGCAGAAAAAGCGCCGGCUAACUACGUGCCAGCAGCCGCGGUAAUACGUAGGGCGCAAGCGUUAUCCGGAAUUAUUGGGCGUAAAGAGCUCGUAGGCGGUUUGUCGCGUCUGCUGUGAAAUCCGGAGGCUCAACCUCCGGCCUGCAGUGGGUACGGGCAGACUAGAGUGCGGUAGGGGAGAUUGGAAUUCCUGGUGUAGCGGUGGAAUGCGCAGAUAUCAGGAGGAACACCGAUGGCGAAGGCAGAUCUCUGGGCCGUAACUGACGCUGAGGAGCGAAAGGGUGGGGAGCAAACAGG
rnacentral:rRNA from 1 species